rnacentral:rRNA from 1 species
CCCUUAGAUGCUCUGGGCCGCACGCGCGCUACACUGGUCGAUGCAACGAGUUUCUUUCCUUGGCCGACAGGCCUGGGCAAUCUUUGAACAUCGAUCGUGAUCGGGAUAGAUUCUUGUAAUUUUUGAUCUUAAACGAGGAAUUCCUAGUAAACGCAAGUCAUCAGCUUGCAUUGAUUACGUCCCUGCCCUUUGUACACACCGCCCGUCGCACCUACCGAUUGAAUGGUCCGGUGAAAUCUCCGGACUGGCGUGAGUCGGAGCAAUCUGACAAACGCCGGAAAGUUGAUUAAACCUUACCACUUGGAGGAAGGAGAAGUCGUAACA